rnacentral:lncRNA from 1 species
GUAACAUUUAAGAUUUUCUUUUUCUUCCUAGUGGAAUUUAUUCCAAUGCUAGUUUAUAUAAUUUAAAGCAUUUACUUAGUUUCUUCUUUCUGUAAAUCAAGACAUUAGACCAUAAGCUUUCUAUUUAUUUAUUAAUAGAUUUGCUUACAUUAUUGAUGCUGAUGUAUCUUGGGGGAUGCUAAUAAAGAUAACAGGGGUGGAGAAGGAAGUUAAGGGUUAAUUCAACCUUUGGCAUGCCCUCUGCUUAUGACUCAGAUCAGUGUGGCAUCUUCUCAUUUGGACUUUAAAUUCUUUCAGGGACUUCUUGAGGACACAAGCAUUACUUCCUGCCGGGGCUCAAAUCUAGCCAAGGAAUACUGAAUGAAUCAGCUACAAACACAAUGAUUCUCCACUGCUGUUUCUUUGGAAAUGAAAUGCUAAAUUGGUGAAGGGCGAUGGGAAAGAGUUAUGGGAAGCAAGAAGGAGCCAAUGAGGGUCCACAGUGCAGCUGUACUAUAGGAUUCCUGAAAGAGCAGUCAGCAUAAGGUCAACUGUAACACCGUGGAGACCAAGGUAGUCUCGACUCAGCAUUCCCGGAGAUGACAGCAGAGAUGGUAGAACAACCACAGCUAUUUAGAUGGACCUGACGCCAACCUGGAAUGUCCAGAAAUCCUGAAUGUGCGGGCAAGGGGUGUGCUGAUCAUGCUGGUGAGCAUUCUGUUUUGUAAAAGUAUAUUGCAAUCCUGAUUGUUUCAAUUCUCUUAAAAAUUAGUUUUGCGCAGUCCUACAAGUAAUUUCUCUGCUGCCUUUUUUUUCUUCCUGACAAUGGUAGAUCCAGGGUCACAAUAAACUCCAUCCAGAAC